UUCCCUCGGCCUAAAGUUCCUCGUGGGCGCGUGGAGGCCGCCGCGGGGUCGGUGCUGUGGGGCAGCGCCCGCCGUUCCAUGGGAAGCGGUGCGACCGGACGUUCGGAAGGAAACCUCGCUAGAGCAGGGAAUGCCUGGGCUCCUGGCUGCCCACGGGGCCUUUGCACGGCCUAGACUUUGCGACCGCAGUGGCCUCCUUCUGUCCCCGGUCGUGCGCCGCGCCCCCCAGCGCGGCUCACGUUUCGGAACACGUCUGACUUUCAUGCCUUCCGAAGAGCCUCCCCGCAUCCCGUGCCCCCUGCUCGCUGCUGCCGCUGACCCUUGGGCGUUGCGCUCGUCCAGAGCGUGUUGUCUUCUGACGCCGUCAGAACCUAAGCUCCCUGCGAGCUGGGACUCAGCCGUGUCCUCGUUGCCGCCAGUGCAAAGCAACUGCUUGCAAGAGAACAAAAGUGUGUUCAGGUGCACAGGGUAGAAAAUUCAAGGAGCCUGAAAGGGUGUUUGGUGAAGACUUGAUGUGUUUUUCCCAGUCCUAACCUCCGAGGCCCAGUUCUCCUCCCCUGGGGCAGAGAGAAACCCGUUUCUUACGUGUCAACAGAGAAAGUCUAUGCAGGAACAUGUACAUGCGUUUCUGCAAAAGUUGACAACUUCAGAUGAUCCACGUGGUACGAGUUCCACACGACACUGUGGUGAAGAGGAUUUUGGAAAUCUCCGUAUUUGGGGCCACCCCUCCCGCCGCGGCUGUGGAUAUUCCCUGUGGGCGAUGCUGACCUUGGUUUCAGGCAGCCCCAUUCUCAAGCUGCUGCGAACUCGGAGCCGAGGCUUCGGAAGGGCUCCCAGACGCCUGCAGUGUACAUGUCUGUGUUCCCUCAGCCUGCCCCCCUCACAUGGGGUAAACUGAGUCUGGGCCUUCAGGCUGCAGGCUCUCAGGCCAACUUCUACCCUUGACCUCUCCCCACCACCCCCUGCUCUUGGGACCCGGGAGGACCCCGCAAGGGCGGUGACAGGGAAGGCCAGCGCUCUGUUCCAGGACGCAUGCUCUCCCCACCUCCCACUUGGUAUGGCCCAGGGCCAGGCCACCUGGGAGCAGAGCCAACUUCCCAUUCUCCAUUUUGUGUAUUUUCCAGGACACACUUGUUGGAGCUCGGCAGCAGCCUUCUCCCGGGUAGGCGCCUGGGGGCUGAAUCUCUGGUCCACCCUGUGUCACCUGCACCUGGUACACCCCAGGGCGGGCCCCUGGGUGCCGGAACAGACAACAGCCAGGUGACGCUGUGGCCUAGGCCCAGUCUAGUUACCCGGAGCCCUGGGAGGGGUGGGGAGGCAGACCCUGCCCAGGGCCAGUGCCUGGAGCAUGGUUGCUGUGGAUGUGGCAGAGGCUUGCCUGAGAUGUGGGCUAGGCCCUUCCAGUGGGUCAGGUCUGGGGUGGUGCCCAGGGUUGUGCACCCUCAGGCUGCUGCCCAGUGGACCAGUGGCCUGUCAGCCCCGACUGGCGUUCACGGGGUCCCAGCAUGGGUGUGUGGGCGGCUGACCCAGGCUCUUAUGAUGCUGUGGCUGUUGUUCGUCCAUUGUCCCAUUAAUGCCAAGCUGGUAGGACCCACCUGGCUGGCUGUGUUCUGCAUGACCCGAGGGCCCACUGGGGUUCUGGAAGAGGAUGGAGACCAUCCCUGCUUGGCUGUGAUUCCGUCCUCUUGACCUGUGGUGGCCGUGACCUGAGGUGGGGCCUCUGGGAGCAGGCGCCUCCUCUUUCCUCCCCCAUGGCGGGCACCUGCCUGUCCACCUCUGAAUCUGGGUGUCAGCAUCAAGGUAGGAGUGCAGGGCCGGCUUGUUAACUGGGAUUCUGUCCAGCCCAGCCAGUGUCAGCGUGGCCCAGGGGCCACCACGAGCCCCUGGUCCCGCUUCCCUCCUGGUUCCGGGCUCCAGCUACGGGCCACGUCGAUCUUCACACGACUCUGGACUGCUGGGGUCACUGUCCCUGCUUCCCCACCGAGAGAAGUAGCCGAGACCCCGACCAGGCCUGCGCUCCCUUGGCACUCAGCAUCUCCCAGCCACGACAGCACCGGUGGCUCAGAAAUAAGGUCCCGGGACAGAUGUGCCCGGCCAGACAGCGAGCUCUCCUGCCAGACCAGAGCCUCUUCUCUCCCCAGCACCCAGCCGGAAGCAGGGCUGGGAACAGGCACCGUGCGUGUCCGUGGAGGAUGAGAGCGCGACUUUGGGACCGGCCCUACCCCACAGCCUCACGGAGGGAACGGGUCCAGGCGGGGUGCUUUCUGUGAAGCCUAUGGCUGUUAGCAGAGCGCCCUGAAACCCCACCACUAGGCCGGACGCGGUGGCUCAGGCCUGUCUGUAAUCCCAGCACUUUGGGCGACCGAGGCAGUGGAUGACCUGAGGUCAGGAGGCUGAGGCAGGAUCAUGAGGUCAGGAGUUUGAGACCAGCCUGACCAACAUGGUGAAACCCCGUCUCUACUAAAAGUACAAAAAUUAGCCGGCAUGGUGGCGGGCGCCUGUGAUCCCAGCUACUCGGGAGGCUUAUGCAGGAGAAUCGCUUGAACUCAGGGGGUGGAGGUUGCAGUGAGCCGAGAUUGCACCACUGCACUCCAGCCUGGGUGACAGAGCAAGACUCCAUCUUAAAAAACAAAAAACAAAAAAAACACCACUUGUCUGACCCUGUUCAAGGAGGAAAGCUCUUAUGGAAGUUUUUCAUCUUUGGGAGGCCAAGGAAGUGGGGGCCUGGGGGAUCCCCUCUCAGUUCUGUGCAGAUAAAAUCCCCAGCCCUGGCCCUGCAGUCCUGCUGAGGAGGGACUGGGGGUGCAGGGGGAGGGGGAUUCACACGGGAAAGGAAAUGCCAGCUGGAUCCUACCCCUGCUGCCCGCGCUGUGCAGGACGGAGGAGGCCUUGGUGUCCCUGCAGUAGCUCCGAGCAUGGAGGCCGUGGACCCCAGAGAUGCUCCCUGCAGGACCCCACACUGGGGCUUCCUUGCAGUCGGCCAGCAGGGGGACCUCGCUGUGUCCUCUGGUUGGAGGGUGGCAGCCGCUGCCCCACCUUCCCACCUGGCUGGCAGAACCUUGUCCUGUGUCCCCCAGAAGCUUGCAGCUGCCCCCGCCCCUGUGCGUGGGGGCCCGCCUGGACCGUGGUAAGUGAUUUAACACCUUAACACAGAAAUAAACGCCAAGCGGCUUUAGGGGUGGGUGUUUCGGUCACAUAAUGCAACACAUGCGGUAAUGUAAAUAAAGGCGUUAUCACCA
ensembl:lncRNA